GUCCGGGAUUUUUACCCUCAAUCGGUAUCCAGACGUUUCUUAUCUACACAUUGCCUUAUCUCUUCUCCAAGCGGCCGAGCUCAUCCCCAUCCUCGGUUUCUUCUCUUCAGCCAUGGCCACCCGCUCACUCAAUCCUGCCACAAGCCAUGGCAUGACCACCAUGAUGCGAGACGGAGGUGCACCACGUGCUGCAACCGUGAGACUGGGGUGCUACCACGGCGGCCACCACGCACUGCAAUUCGUGGAGGUCGGGUGUGCGUGAAGACGGUGACCAGCAACAACGGAGACCACCAGCACCGCGGGCGACGGUGACCCGGGGAUGCUCCGUGUGCUGCAACCGCGGUGACGGGGCGCAUCCCGGGGAGACGGCGAUGCUGGAACUAGCUGCCGUUUUUGCUGCAACCAGCCGGUGAAGGCGCUGGAACCAGCGCCGCGGUGGCUGUGCGGCGAUGCUGAACCACGGUGACAAGUGCGGGGAGAUCCGGCGACAUUUUUUUUGUUGGAACCAUGAUUUGAUUUUGCUGGAACCAGCUCGAAUUUUUGCUACCAGCAUCUUCUGUUUUUGUUUGAAACCAACCAAAUUUUUUGCUACCACGUUUUGUAUUUGCUGGAACCAGUGUAUCAAUUUGCUACCACCGUCUUUGAUAUUUGCUGGAACUAACCAAAUUUUUGCUGCCAUGUUUUUUUGCCGGAACCAUUUGUAUCACCUUUGCUACAACCGUAUUAGAUUUUUGCUACUAUCGGCGCUGUCGAUUGUUACAUCCGUCUUUUGAUGAAUCAUGAGGUUGCCGAGACCCGGGACUAUGUAUUCUUUGCUACAACCGUUAUCAAUUUUUGCUACUACCGGUGUUCAUUGUUAUUUUCAUGCACAUACAAAGAAAAACUUGAGCAACAACGACCAUCGAGGGUGGCGACGAGUUUUUCGACGGGCGUGGGAUGCUGCAAGGAGCAUCGACCCAGGGGCGCCACGGCGCCUUGCCGGAGCGCACGGGCGCGUCAACUGUGUGCAAGUUGCGCGUCGGUUGGCGCAGGAGGGUUUUUUUUGUUCGUAUAUGCGUGACUGAAGUACGGGAAGGCAUCUCCACGGGAUCAGACGGC
rnacentral:rRNA from 1 species